ACUCAGUAGCUAAGUGGAUAACGUAAUGGCGUUUGAAGCGAACGAUAUUGGGUUCGAGUCCCAAAGUCA
rnacentral:tRNA from 1 species